GACGAACGCUGGCGGCGUGCCUAAUACAUGCAAGUCGAGCGAAGUUUUUCUGGUGCUUGCACUAGAAAAACUUAGCGGCGAACGGGUGAGUAACACGUAAAGAACCUGCCUCAUAGACUGGGACAACUAUUGGAAACGAUAGCUAAUACCGGAUAACAGCAUUAACUGCAUGGUUGAUGUUUAAAAGUUGGUUUUGCUAACACUAUGAGAUGGCUUUGCGGUGCAUUAGCUAGUUGGUGGGGUAAAGGCCUACCAAGGCGACGAUGCAUAGCCGACCUGAGAGGGUGAUCGGCCACACUGGGACUGAGACACGGCCCAGACUCCUACGGGAGGCAGCAGUAGGGAAUCUUCCGCAAUGGGCGAAAGCCUGACGGAGCAACGCCGCGUGAGUGAAGAAGGAUUUCGGUUCGUAAAGCUCUGUUGUUAGGGAAGAAUGAUUGUGUAGUAACUAUACACAGUAGAGACGGUACCUAACCAGAAAGCCACG
rnacentral:rRNA from 1 species